rnacentral:rRNA from 1 species
AGUGAACGCUGGCGGUAUGCCUAACACAUGCAAGUCGAACGGCAGCACAGUAAGAGCUUGCUCUUACUGGUGGCGAGUGGCGGACGGGUGAGGAAUACAUCGGAAUCUACUUUUUCUUGGGGGAUAACGUAGGGAAACUUACGCUAAUACCUCAUACUACCUACGGGUUAGAGCAGGGGAUCUUCGGACCUUGCGCGAUUGAAUUAGCCGAUGUCGGAUUAGCUAGUUGGCGGGGUAAAGGCCCACCAAGGCGACGAUCCGUAGCUGGUCUGAGAGGAUGAUCAGCCACACUGGAACUGAGACACGGUCCAGACUCCUACGGGAGGCAGCAGUGGGGAAUAUUGGACAAAGGGCGCAAGCCUGAUCCAGCCAUACCGCGUGGGUGAAGAAGGCCUUCGGGUUGUAAAGCCCUUUUGUUGGGAAAGAAAAGAAGCAGGUUAAUACCCCGCUGUUCUGACGGUACCCAAAGAAUAAGCACCGGCUAACUUCGUG